rnacentral:rRNA from 1 species
UGGGGAAUAUUGCACAAUGGGCGCAAGCCUGAUGCAGCCAUGCCGCGUGUGUGAAGAAGGCCUUCGGGUUGUAAAGCACUUUCAGCGAGGAGGAAGGCAGUCGUGUUAAUAGCACGAUUGAUUGACGUUACUCGCAGAAGAAGCACCGGCUAACUCCGUGCCAGCAGCCGCGGUAAUACGGAGGGUGCAAGCGUUAAUCGGACUUACUGGGCGUAAAGCGCACGCAGGCGGUUUGUUAAGUCAGAUGUGAAAUCCCCGCGCUUAACGUGGGAACUGCAUUUGAAACUGGCAAGCUAGAGUCUUGUAGAGGGGGGUAGAAUUCCAGGUGUAGCGGUGAAAUGCGUAGAGAUCUGGAGGAAUACCGGUGGCGAAGGCGGCCCCCUGGACAAAGACUGACGCUCAGGUGCGAAAGCGUGGGGAGCAAACA